AAAAAAAGAGUACAAAAGAACACUAGAUUUGCCAUCAGAUGGCAUGGGUUCAAACCCCAUUUUUGUUA
rnacentral:tRNA from 1 species